GUGGCUGAGCUGUGUGUGCAGAGAGCACCUUUCUCUCUCCUUGGGAAGCCCUUUGAAUGUAGAAACUCUGCAUUCCUCAUUCCUGUGCCCUCCCUCUCCCCAGUGGCUAGGACUUAACACCAAAGGGUGCUCAGGAAACAAAUGGAAGCAGGGCACUAACCAACUCCAGGAGGACUGGGAGCAUGUUUCCCGCUGAAUCCCUGCCAUCUUGACCACUGCCUGGCAAGAGAAGACACUCUACCAACAUUUUUUUAGUGCUGCAUCCCUUGGAGGGCAUGAGGCAAGGCCACGUGAGACACAGUCGGUGCUAGAUUCCUGGAGGCAGAGCUGAGGGUAGGUCUUGAAACCAGCGAGGGUAGCAAGCAGAGGAAGAUGACGAUCCAUUCCUCUUCUGAUCUUCACUAUAAGGGGCACCAAGCCCUGGGUCAUGACAAGGUCUUAUAUUUAGCAUGGACUUGCAACCAUGCCUGCGUUUUACUCCUAUUUGACAUCCGCAAGGGAUCGGAACUGCCUGGCUCAACACAGGUGCUAAUCAACAGUUUUGAAGUGGAUGAAGGAGUGGUUGAAUGAAUGCCAUCUUGUCAUGAGGCCAUCUUCAUAAACACGGUUCCUCAACUUUUGUCUUCUUCCAGAUGGAAUGCAUAUUUUUAGUUCUUGCACAUCCUUCUGUGUUUCCCUCCUGAGUGCUUUGCCCCGUAGUGGCUCACAGUGGGUCCGUACAAAAUACCAGCCUGAAUGCCUACGCAGCCCUUCAGGCUAAACCCUUCUAGGACACAACCUUUUCAUCAACUGCAUGGGGCCCACAGCUAUUCCUUAGCCCCUUUGCCCUUCUGCCUGCUCUGACCAAUGCCCUGCCCCUUUAAUUAAUAAUAGGGACAUGAUUUGCUCAAAUCCCGACCUCUGUUCAUCCACUGCCCUGGGAUAUCAGUAAGAUGUUUACUCUUCCAUCUCCCCCGGGGAACUUGGGUUCCACAGCUCCUUUAUCAACAAUAAUCCUGGGCUGCAGGCUUGAUGGUGGAAAAUGAAUAUUCUGGCUCCUUUUCAGUUUCCAGAUUGAUUGGGGACAAACGGGAACUCAGCCCUCUCAACCAAUCAUCCAAGGCAGUCAGCUGUAACUAGGUGUACACUUAAACAGCCGGCAUGUGAAAUAGCACACUUGUGCUCUGCUGAUUAAAAAAAAAAUCCAAAUCAUUAUUCCCCACCUUCACAGGCUUGGAGGCCUAGGAGCAGGUGGGGUGGGGUGGGUGGCAGAUGAGGCUGCCUCAGUAGCCCUAACCAUUUCAUCAUUAAUAUCCACCCACCCACUAUGCAUUGUCCACAGUAAAAUGUGCUUUGUCUUCCACACUGUAUUGGUGAACAAAUAAAUCACUCAGUUCCUUGGUUUUAG
rnacentral:lncRNA from 10 species